rnacentral:lncRNA from 1 species
AAAAUCUCUUUUUUUUUAUAAGGAACGGAUACUAUACAAAAAUGGAGGCUUCAUCUUCUUCUUGACGAACUUACACAAUACAAAACCCUAGGACCUAAAAACCUCCAGCCGCCGCCUCUCCUUCUUCUUCACUCACAAGCACGCCCAAAAUCAGUCCACCCCUGAACCUCUGUGACGCUGACCAGCCACCAAACGAUCACCAUGAACGCCGCCGGACUUCCCCUCCAUCUCCCAGUGACCGCACUACCCCAACUCCUCUCAAAUCUGACGCAACAAAGCCAACAGUAGCGGCGUGGAAGAGUUGACACUUCUAGCCCCUGAUUUUUGGUGUUCUUUCAUAUCAAAUUUGCAAGUUCCUUCAGCUUCCCUUGGAAUACAAAAACUGGAAAAACACAAAUGUUGUAGUUCCCUUUUUCCUUUCGAUUUUUGGGGUGUCAAAACUGGAAUUCAGUUGAGAUGGGAUUCGAUUUUAUGAUUCAAGAUUCCGUUCGGGUUCGUGUCUGGGAUUCCUGCUAUUAUAAUCUAGUCAGGGCGAUGAUUCAUAGCCUGUCCAUAUAGCUAUUGUGAAAUUUAAAUAUAUUGGAAAAUAGUUCAGGAUCCUCUUUCUCCUCUUCUCUGUUAUUUGAGAGAAUACUUCCAUGUGUUGUGAUUGAAAUGUGUUGUUAGCUUUUUCUCUUAAUUGUUUGUUGAUCUCAUUUGUGUUUUUCAAGUUCGCUAUAUGAAUCUGUUCUGGUCUUGGAUUUGGCUCUUAUUGUGUUGAAGUGUUGAAUGUCUGAAGUUUAUUCACUAAGAAAAUGAUAGCAUCACGAUUUUAAUCUUCCUCCGUUCGGUCUAAAUUCUAAACAAGGAUCAAGGUCUCAAUAUUCUCCUGGAUUAGAGUAGGAUGGAAUCGUUAUAUUUAUGGGAUGUAUAUACAAGUAGG